rnacentral:rRNA from 1 species
GUGUCAGCAGCCGCGGUAAUACGAAGGGGGCUAGCGUUGUUCGGAUUUACUGGGCGUAAAGCGCGCGUAGGCGGACGUUUAAGUCAGGGGUGAAAUCCCAGGGCUCAACCCUGGAACGGCCUUUGAUACUGGACGUCUGGAGAUCGGGAGAGGUUGGUGGAAUUCCGAGUGUAGAGGUGAAAUUCGUAGAUAUUCGGAGGAACACCAGAAGCGAAGGCGGCCAACUGGCCCGAUACUGACGCUGAGGCGCGAAAGCGUGGGGAGCAAACAGGAUUAGAUACCCCCGUAGUCC